rnacentral:pre_miRNA from 1 species
AAGGUACUCCCUCCGUUCGGAAUUACUUGUCAUCAAAAUGGAUGUAUCUAGAACUAAAAUACAUCUAGAUACAUCCAUUUCAAUGACAAGUAUUUCCGAACGGAGGGAGUAAUAG